CCAUCCCGGCUUACCAACCCGAUGCAAACUGCGAAUACCGGAGAAUGUUAUCACGGGAGACACACGGCGGGUGCUAACGUCCGUCGUGAAGAGGGAAACAACCCAGACCGCCAGCUAAGGUCCCAAAGUCAUGGUUAAGUGGGAAACGAUGUGGGAAGGCCCAGACAGCCAGGAUGUUGGCUUAGAAGCAGCCAUCAUUUAAAGAAAGCGUAAUAGCUCACUGGUCGAGUCGGCCUGCGCGGAAGAUGUAACGGGGCUAAACCAUGCACCGAAGCUGCGGCAGCGAACGUAUCACUUAAAGCGAUUCAGCGGAUGACGAUUGACGGAGCGAAGCGACGUCAAAGCGUUUUACAACGUCGAGUCGGUUUAAGGAUACGUUCGUUGGGUAGGGGAGCGUUCUGUAAGCCUGCGAAGGUGGCCUGUGAGGGUUGCUGGAGGUAUCAGAAGUGCGAAUGCUGACAUAAGUAACGAUAAAGCGGGUGAAAAGCCCGCUCGCCGGAAGACCAAGGGUUCCUGUCCAACGUUAAUCGGGGCAGGGUGAGUCGACCCCUAAGGCGAGGCCGAAAGGCGUAGUCGAUGGGAAACAGGUUAAUAUUCCUGUACCUGGUGUUACUGCGAAGGGGGGACGGAGAAGGCUAUGUUGGCCGGGCGACGGUUGUCCCGGUUUAAGCGUGCAGGUGUGUGUUCCAGGAAAAUCCGGUUCACUUUAACACUGAGGCGUGACGACGAGGCACUACGGUGCUGAAGCAACAAAUGCCCUGCUUCCAGGAAAAGCCUCUAAGCCUCAGGUAACAUCAGAUCGUACCCGAAACCGACACAGGUGGUCAGGUAGAGAAUACCAAGGCGCUUGAGAGAACCCGGGUGAAGGAACUAGGCAAAAUGGUGCCGUAACUUCGGGAGAAGGCACGCUGACACGUAGGUGAAGCGGUUUACCCGUGAAGCCGAAGUCAGUCGAAGAUACCAGCUGGCUGCAACUGUUUAUUAAAAACACAGCACUGUGCAAACACGAAAGUGGACGUAUACGGUGUGACGCCUGCCCGGUGCCGGAAGGUUAAUUGAUGGGGUCAGCGCAAGCGAAGCUCCUGAUCGAAGCCCCGGUAAACGGCGGCCGUAACUAUAACGGUCCUAAGGUAGCGAAAUUCCUUGUCGGGUAAGUUCCGACCUGCACGAAUGGCGUAAUGAUGGCCAGGCUGUCUCCACCCGGGACUCAGUGAAAUUGAACUCGCUGUGAAGAUGCAGUGUACCCGCGGCAAGACGGAAAGACCCCGUGAACCUUUACUAUAGCUUGACACUGAACACUGGUCCUUGAUGUGCAGGAUAGGUGGGAGGCUUUGAAGUGUGGACGCCAGUCUGCAUGGAGCCGUCCUUGAAAUACCACCCUUUAAUGGCUGGUGUUCUAACGUAGACCCGUGAACCGGGUUGCGGACAGUGUCUGGUGGGUAGUUUGACUGGGGCGGUCUCCUCCUAAAGCGUAACGGAGGAGCACGAAGGUUGGCUAAUCCUGGUCGGACAUCAGGAGGUUAGUGCAAUGGCAUAAGCCAGCUUGACUGCGAGCGUGACGGCGCGAGCAGGUGCGAAAGCAGGUCAUAGUGAUCCGGUGGUUCUGAAUGGAAGGGCCAUCGCUCAACGGAUAAAAGGUACUCCGGGGAUAACAGGCUGAUACCGCCCAAGAGUUCAUAUCGACGGCGGUGUUUGGCACCUCGAUGUCGGCUCAUCACAUCCUGGGGCUGAAGUAGGUCCCAAGGGUAUGGCUGUUCGCCAUUUAAAGUGGUACGCGAGCUGGGUUUAGAACGUCGUGAGACAGUUCGGUCCCUAUCUGCCGUGGGCGCUGGAGAACUGAGGGGGGCUGCUCCUAGUACGAGAGGACCGGAGUGGACGCAUCACUGGUGUUCGGGUUGUCAUGCCAAUGGCACUGCCCGGUAGCUAAAUGCGGAAGAGAUAAGUGCUGAAAGCAUCUAAGCACGAAACUUGCCCCGAGAUGAGUUCUCCCUGAGACUACAAGUCUCCUGAAGGAACGUUGAAGACGACGACGUUGAUAGGCCGGGUGUGUAAGCGCAGCGAUGCGUUGAGCUAACCGGUACUAAUGAACCGUGAGGCUUAACCUUACA
rnacentral:rRNA from 1 species